rnacentral:misc_RNA from 1 species
GAUGAAGAACGCAGCGAAAUGCGAUACGUAAUGUGAAUUGCAGAAUUCAGUGAAUCAUCGAAUCUUUGAACGCGUAUUGCGCUCUUUGGUAUUCCGAAGAGCAUGCUUGUUUGAGUAUCAGUAAACACCUCAACCUCUUCUUGAUUUUUCAAAAGGAGGGUGGACUUGAGCUAUCCCAACAACCUUUACCGGUCGGCGGGCGGCUUGAAAUGCAGGUGCAGCUGGACUUUUAUCUGAGCUAAAAGCAUAUCUAUUUAGUCCUCGUCAAACAGGAUUAUUACUUUUGCUGCAGCUAACAUAAAGGAUAAUUGUCCUCUUUGCUGACUGAUGCAGGAUUUUACGACACUUUAUGUGUUGUUCAACUCGAUCUCAAAUCAAGUAAGACUACCCGCUGAACUUAAGCAUAUCAAUAAGCGGAGGA